rnacentral:misc_RNA from 1 species
CCGAGUUUACCAACUCCCAAACCCCUGUGAACAUACCUGAAGCGUUGCCUCGGCGGGACCGCCCCGGCGCCCCCUGCGGCCCGGAACCAGGCGCCCGCCGGAGGACCCAAACUCUAGCUUUGAAUAGUGGCAAUACUCUCUGAGUCUCACAAACAAAAAUGAAUCA